CCUGGCAAGGAAGGGUUCUCUGUUUAGCAUGCUGGCAACACGAGCCUGUCCUCUGCCCCCAG
rnacentral:miRNA from 14 species